rnacentral:rRNA from 1 species
GACAGAGGUCCCGAGCGUUAGGCGGAAUCACUGGGUUUAAAGGGUCCGUAGGCGGAUCUGUAAGUCAGUGGUGAAAUCUCAUAGCUUAACUAUGAAACUGCCAUUGAUACUGCAGGUCUUGAGUAAGGUAGAAGUAGCUGGAAUAAGUAGUGUAGCGGUGAAAUGCAUAGAUAUUACUUAGAACACCAAUUGCGAAGGCAGGUUACUAUGUCUUAACUGACGCUGAUGGACGAAAGCGUGGGGAGCGAACAGG